rnacentral:rRNA from 1 species
GGAUGGCGGGUCUACCAUGCAGUCGACGGGUGCUUGGGGAAACUUGAGCGCUAGUGGCAAACGGGUGAGUAACACGUGGGUGACCUACCUCAGAGUGGGGAACAACAGACCGAAAGGUUUGCUAAUACCGCAUUAGCUUGAUGAUUCGUUUUGUCAAGUAAAGGCGCAAGUCGCUCUGAGAGGGGCCCGCGUCCCAUCAGGUAGUUGGUGAGGUAAUGGCCCACCAAGCCGAUGACGGGUAGCUGUUCUGAGAGGAAGAUCAGCCACAAUGGAACUGAGACACGGUCCAUACUCCUACGGGAGGCAGCAGUGAGGAAUAUUGCACAAUGGACGAAAGUCUGAUGCAGCGACGCCGCGUGGGCGACGAAGGCCUUCGGGUCGUAAAGCCCUUUUGGCAGGGACGAGUGAGGACGGUACCUGCAGAAUAAGUCUCGGCUAACUACGUGCCAGCAGCCGCGGUAAAACGUAGGAGGCGAGCGUUAUCCGGAUUUACUGGGCGUAAAGCGCGCGUAGGCGGUUGGGUAAGUCAGAUGUUAAAGCCCCUGGCUCAACUGGGGGAGGUCAUUUGAUACUGCUCGGCUUGAGGGUGAUAGAGGAGAGUGGAAUUCCCGGUGUAGCGGUGGAAUGCGUAGAGAUCGGGAGGAACGCCAGUGGCGAAAGCGACUCUCUGGCUCACCCCUGACGCUGAGUGCGCGAAAGCGUGGGUAGCAAACGGGAUUAGAUACCCCGGUAGUCCACGCCCUAAACGAUGAGAGCUGGGUGUCGGCAGGGUUUCCUGUCGGUGCCGAAGCUAACGCGUUAAGCUCUCCGCCUGGGGACUACGAACGCAAGUUUAAAACUCAAAGGAAUUGACG